rnacentral:rRNA from 1 species
GACGAACGCUGGCGGCGUGCUUAACACAUGCAAGUCGAACGGAAAGGCCCUGCUUUUGUGGGGUUCUCGAGUGGCGAACGGGUGAGUAACACGUGAGUAACCUGCCCUUUACUUUGGGAUAACUUCAGGAAACUUGGGCUAAUACCGGAUAGGAGCUCCUGCUGCAUGGUGGGGGUUGGAAAGUUUCGGCGGUUGGGGAUGGACUCGCGGCUUAUCAGCUUGUUGGUGGGGUAGUGGCUUACCAAGGCUUUGACGGGUAGCCGGCCUGAGAGGGUGACCGGCAACAUUGGGAAUGAGAGACGGACCAGAAUGCUACGGGAGGCAGCAGGGGGGAAUAUUGCACAAUGGGCGGAAGCCUGAUGCAGAAACGCAGCGUGCGGGAUGACGGCAUUGGGGUUGUAAACCGCUUUCGCCUGUGACGAAGCGUGAGUGACGGUAAUGGGUAAAGAAGCACCGGCUAACUACGUG